ensembl:snoRNA SNORA62 Small nucleolar RNA SNORA62/SNORA6 family
UCUGCCCAUUGGUUGAGCUUGGAGUGGAGGCCACUGGCUGGCGGAUGAACUCACAGUGUAGGUGGUGUGCUAUGUGAAGAACAUGUCUUUCACUAACACCACAAGGGUCUCUGGUCCAAUGAGUGGGGUUGGAUAGUAAUUCUUGCUACAAGU